rnacentral:rRNA from 1 species
ACCGGCGGCUCGAGUGGUGGCCACUAUUACUGGGCUUAAAGCGUUCGUAGCUGGCUUGUUAAGUCUCUGGGGAAAUCUUCCGGCUCAACCGGAAGGCGUCUCAGGGAUACUGGCAGGCUAGGGACCGGAAGAGGUGAGAGGUAAUCCAGGGGUAGGAGUGAAAGCCGGUAAUCCUUGGGGGACCGCCUGAGACGAAGGCGUCUCACCAGGACGUCUCCGACAGUGAGGAGCGAAAGCUGUGGGAGCAAACCG